rnacentral:snRNA from 1 species
GGAUGUAAGGGUGGUCUGGCUGCAACACCUGUUACUCCAUUGAUAGCCAGGGUUGAUUCGGCUGAUCUGCCAGGCUAGGCAAGUGUCCCCUUUCUCCCUCACCACUGCAUGUGUGUCCCUCCUGAACCUGUACACUUGAUUGAAUAGGAUGACCUUCCCUGAAUAUAGGAGGACUUGUCUUCAGUCAAGGUUAUACAAGUAGCUGUGCUCCUCUGCUAGAACCUCUAAACAAGCUCUCAAAUAUAUGGACAUCAACUUAUAUGAUGUUAAUAUUAUUAACCUGUCAUUAA